CAAUAUUAGCAUUUUAGAAAAAUUCAAUCUAUAUACCUUUACUACUAUUCUCUAUUAUUCCUAAGCAAUUUUUCAAACAUAAAUUUUCUUAUAUUCUUCUGAAAAAGAGAAUUUCAUACCAAAACUAAAAUUCAUUUUAUUCUUCUAUAUCCUAGAAUACACGCUAAAUCCAAGAAUAAAAACAUUUAUACUUCUAAAUAUUAUUUCAUUACCAAACGCAACCUAAGGGUUUUGUAAU
rnacentral:lncRNA from 1 species